CUUGAUUUAUAAGUAAUUUUAAUUUUUGAAAAUAAAAAAAAUUAAAAAGGAAUAGAAAGAGGAAAAGAACCGACGUCGUUGUGAUUUUGUAGUGGGAAAACUUCUUGACUUCCUAUGUGAAGGUAAAACCGGGUGGACUUCUAAUGUUUUUUGCUUUGUUUAUUGGUUCGUUGAAAAGUCAGGCCGGACACGGUUUGGACUCUCAGUACGGCCCUGCAUACAAAAGAUAAAACAUCAAAAAAAUUACAAAAAUAAAGAUUUAUUUCAAAAAAAUUAAAAGAAGAGUUUUUUUAACAUUUUCUUACUUUUAAUUUGUAGAAAUGGCGUCAAACAAGAUUAUUUUUGGAUUAUUCUUCUUGGUUUUAAUCAGUUUUGAUUCAGUUUAUUCGAACACAUUGGGAAUUUGUGUAAAAAAUUGUGCACAAUGUAAGAGAAUGUAUGGUCGUUAUUUUAAUGGAGAAACCUGUGCGAAGAUGUGCAUCAAGUUCAAAGGAAAUUUUAUCCCGGAUUGUGAAGAUAUCGGUUCAAUUGAACCAUUUCUAAAUAAAAUAGAUAACAACAAUAUUGAUUAUUAAAUAAAACAAAUGUUGCAUAA